UUUGAAUUGAAAACACAAACUAAGCAUUAGACAAAAUCCUAUGAGAAUAACAAAUAUAACAUCAAAACCAAAUACAUGAAUUUGGGAUAGAUAAGUACCGUGACACGUCUUAUAGUAAUGUGAAUUCACACUCAAAAAUAAGAGAAAACAAACGACACAACGGAAACACAACGUUAAAAUGUAACACACACAGAAACGAACUAUAA
rnacentral:lncRNA from 1 species